UUAUUUCAAAAUUUAGGAAACUUCUCAAAAUAUUUUAAUACAAAAAUAAUGUUAACUUUUACAAAAAUAGCUUAGGGAAAUUGGACCAGGUGCAGUGGAUCAUGCUUGUAAUCCCAACACUUCGAGAGGCGAGGUGGGCAGAUCGCCUGAGGUCAGGAGUUUGAGACCAGCCUGGCCAAAAUGGUGAGACUAAAAAUACAAAAAUUACUAAAAAUACAAAAUUAGCUGGGCAUGGUGGCAAGCCUGUAAAGCCCAGCUAUUUGGGAGGCUGAAGUGGGAGAAUCGCUUGAACCCAGGAGGUGGAGGUUGCAGUGAGCUGAGAUUGUGCACUCCAGCAUGGGCAACAGAGCAAGACUCCAUCUCAAAAAAAAAAAAAAAAAAAAAAAAAAAAAAAAAGGCCACGCGCAGUGGCUCACACCUGUAAUCCCAACACUUUGGGAGGCCGAGGUGGGCAGACCACGAGGUCAGGAGUUCGACACCAGCCUGGCCAACAUAGUGAAACCCCGUCGCUACUAAAAAAAAUUAGCUGGGCGUGCUGGCACACGCCUGUAGUCCCAGCUACUCGGGAGGCUGAGGUAGGAGAAUCGCUUGAACCCAGGAGGCAGAGGCUGCAGCGAGCCAAGAUAGUGCCACUGCACUCCAGCCCGGGCAACAGUGUGAGACUCCAUCUCAAAAAAAAAAAAAAAAAAGCUCAGGAAAAUAGUGUACGGGCUUUUUUUUUUAAAGGUGCUCUUUCAUUUUCAUAGUCAUUUCAUAUGACCAAAUACUCAAAAUCCAAAUGAAUCAAAAGAGUUCUUACAUAUAAACAAAACAGUUCUACAGAUGAAACUAGAGAUCUUGAUAAAUCUGUAAAUAUAUGAUCUAGAGAUUUGUGUAUAGAAAAAGAAAUCAGAACCAUGAACUGCAAUCUGUGAGACCACAGCUUUAACUUUUUUUCUGCCAGGGAGGUGGAAAGAUGAGGAAAAACAGGGGGGUGAGAGGAGGGACAGACAGAAGCAUGCCUCAGAGGUUCUGAGGGCCCCCUAGCACAGCACAGUACUAUAUGGGAACUGAAAGUUAGAUUUUACUCUAUUUUCUCUCCCAGCAAGCAAAGGGCCGUUUCACAGAGAUUCCUGACUGAAACAACACAAAGUCAGUUAAAAAGAUGAAGCUGGGGCUGGGCAUGAUUACAUAAAUUUUGAGAGCUUGAUUUGGCCUUUAAUAAAACCAAAUCUGUAGAAAAAAUCUCAUUUCAACAUGAUCUCACUAGACUGAAACUUUUUGAAAUGUUUUCAUUGUUGCCCUUCAUAUUAUGUAAAGGAAUCAUGUCUAUUAAGGAAAAUGACAUAAGGAAAUGUUUUAGAAAUUAUGAAUACUAAAGAUUAAGGAGACUUUUCUUGCCUGUAACCUGUACACACACACACACACACACACACACACAUCUUACAGAAAAAAAAACUCUUAGGCCUAGCUAAAAUCCAUUAUUUCCGUUUCUACCCAUUUAUUCAUGCUCCCUUAAAGCCCAUUCCUGUUUAUUCAACAUUCUACAAUUUUAAUUCAUAAACAUGUAAAGUCCAAGAGCAGUGCUUGAACAAUGCUGAAGGCAUAGCACUGUCUGUACUAAUCAGGUGGCACUUAAGUUUGUCUUGUCAUAUUUAUAUAAUUGUCUCCUCAAACAGACUUCACACUUUUGAGAGUAAGGGCCCUUUUCUAUUCCCAAAACCAAACAUAGAGACUCAUAUAUAGUAAAAUGUUGGUAAUGGCUAUGAAAGACACAGACCAGUGGAUACAUUUAAGAAUUAACUUCAGUUGUAAGGAAUAUCUGAC
rnacentral:lncRNA from 1 species